GGUUGGGUUGACUAAGGGUUAGUCACCAGAUUCAUGAUCUGAGGAUGUGGGUUCGAGUCCCACCCCGACCC
rnacentral:tRNA from 1 species